UUUAUUUAUGAAUAUUAUGAAAUAAUUGAAGUUAUAUAAUUGAGAUGCAAACAAAAAUAUAGAAUUCAAAGCAACUAAUCAAAAUACAACACUUCUUACACUUAUCUUCUCCCUUCUACUUUCACGUGUGUUGAUAUUUAUCAACACUGAAUUUACCUCCUCACUUACUUUUUGAUUACAAUAAACUAUUGUAGAGGAAAUAUUUUUUUCA
rnacentral:sRNA from 1 species